CAGUCGCCACGGGAAUACAGAGGGUGCGAGCGUUAAUCGGAUUUACUGGGCGUAAAGCGUGCGUAGGCGGCUUCUUAAGUCGGAUGUGAAAUCCCUGAGCUUAACUUAGGAAUUGCAUUCGAUACUGGGAAGCUAGAGUAUGGGAGAGGAUGGUAGAAUUCCAGGUGUAGCGGUGAAAUGCGUAGAGAUCUGGAGGAAUACCGAUGGCGAAGGCAGCCAUCUGGCCUAAUACUGACGCUGAGGUACGAAAGCAUGGGGAGCAAACAGGAUUAGAUACCCGGGUAGUCCCUGUCUCUUAUAA
rnacentral:rRNA from 1 species